AACGAACGCUGGCGGCAUGCUUAACACAUGCAAGUCGAACGGUCUUAUGGGGCUUGCUCCAUAAGAUAGUGGCAGACGGGUGAGUAACACGUGGGAACGUACCCUAAGGUUCGGAAUAACAGUUGGAAACGACUGAUAAUACCGGAUAUCUCCGAGAGGAGAAAGGUUUACCGCCUUGGGAGCGGCCCGCGUCUGAUUAGGUAGUCGGUGAGGUAAAGGCUCACCAAGCCGAUGAUCAGUAGCUGGUUUGAGAGAAUGAUCAGCCACACUGGGACUGAGACACGGCCCAGACUCCUACGAGAGGCAGCAGUGGGGAAUAUUGGACAAUGGGGGAAACCCUGAUCCAGCAAUGCCGCGUGAGUGAAGAAGGCCUUCGGGUUGUAAAGCUCUUUUGUCCGUGACGAUAAUGACGGUAGCGGACGAAUAAGCACCGGCUAACUUCGUGCCAGCCGCCGCAGUAA
rnacentral:rRNA from 1 species